CCUACGGGUGGCAGCAGUGAGGAAUAUUGGUCAAUGGGCGAGAGCCUGAACCAGCCAAGUCGCGUGAAGGAUGACGGCCCUACGGGUUGUAAACUUCUUUUGUCAGGGAGCAAUUGGGUCCACGCGUGGGCUUAGCGAGAGUACCUGAAGAAAAAGCAUCGGCUAACUCCGUGCCAGCAGCCGCGGUAAUACGGAAGGCCCGAGCGUUAUCCGGAUUCAUUGGGCUUAAAGGGAGCGUAGGCGGGCGUUCAAGUCAGCUGUAAAAUCGCGCGGCUCAACCGCGCCCCGCAGUUGAAACUGGACGCCUUGAGUUCACAACAGGCAGGCGGAAUUCGUGGUGUAGCGGUGAAAUGCAUAGAUAUCACGAGGAACCCCGAUUGCGAAGGCAGCCUGCCGGGGUGCGACUGACGCUGAGGCUCGAAGGUGCGGGUAUCAAACAGGAUUAGAUACCCCUGUAGUC
rnacentral:rRNA from 1 species